AGCAGCCGCGGUAAUUCCAGCUCCAAUAGCGUAUAUUAAAGUUGUUGCAGUUAAAAAGCUCGUAGUUGAAUUUCGGGAUCAAUUAGUCGGUCGUGCCUCUGGUACGUACUGGUUUUAUUGGUUCCUCCCUUCUGACGAAACAUGAUGUCAUUAAUUUGGUGUCGUGGAGAAUCAGGACUGUUACCUUGAAAAAAUUAGAGUGUUUAUAGCAGGCUAACGCUUGAAUACAUUAGCAUGGAAUAAUGAAAUAGGACGUUCGACCCUAUUUUGUUGGUUUCUAGGAUCGACGUAAUGAUUAAUAGGGAUAGUUGGGGGCAUUAGUAUUCAAUUGUCAGAGGUGAAAUUCUUGGAUUUAUUGAAGACUAACUACUGCGAAAGCAUUUGCCAAGGAUGUUUUCAUUAAUCAAGAACGAAAGUUAGGGGAUCGAAGACGAUCAGAUACCGUCGUAG
rnacentral:rRNA from 1 species